AACGAACGCUGGCGGCAUGCCUAACACAUGCAAGUCGAACGAGAACUUCGGGUAUAGUUGCGCACGGGUGCGUAACGCGUGGGAACCUUCCCUUAGGUUCGGAAUAACUCCCCGAAGGGGGUGCUAAUACCGGAUAAUUUCUUCGACCCAAAGAUGUAUCGCCUCGGGAUGGGGCCGCGUUGGAUUAGCUAGUUGGUAGGGUAAAAGCCUACCAAGGCUACGAUGCAUAGCUGGUCUGAGAGGAUGACCAGCCACACUGGGACUGAGACACGGCCCAGACGCCCACGGGAGGCAGCAGUUGGGAACAUUGGACAAUGGGCGAGAGCCUGAUCCAGCAAGGCCGCGUGAGUGAUGAAGGCGUUAGGGUUGUAAAGCUCUUUUACCCGGGAUGAUAAUGACAGUACCGGGAGAAUAAGCGACGGCUAACUCCGUG
rnacentral:rRNA from 1 species